rnacentral:rRNA from 1 species
CCAAUAGCGUAUAUUAAAGUUGUUGCAGUUAAAAAGCUCGUAGUUGAACCUCGGGGUCUACCCAUUGGUCAGGCUUAAUUGUCUGCACUAGUGAGAUGGAUCUCUACCUUCUGAGGAACUUUCAUGCCAUUUAUUUGGUGUGAUGGGAAAUCAGGACUGUUACUUUGAAAAAAUUAGAGUGUUUAAAGCAGACUAUCGUCUGAAUACAUUAGCAUGGAAUAAUGAAAUAGGACGGACUGAUUCUAUUUCGUUGGUUUCUAGGAUCACCGUAAUGAUUAAUAGGGAUAGUUGGGGGCAUUAGUAUUCAAUUGUCAGAGGUGAAAUUCUUGGAUUUAUUGAAGACUAACUACUGCGAAAGCAUUUGCCAAGGAUGUUUUCAUUAAUCAAGAACGAAAGUUAGGGGAUCGAAGACGAUCAGAUACCGUCGUAGUCUUAACCAUAAACUAUGCCGACUAGGGAUCGGACGAAGUUAAUUUUAUAAUGACGCGUUCGGCACCUUACG